AAUUUGAAAUCUGGCUCUCCUCGGAGGUCCGAGUUGUAAUUUGUAGAGAGUGCUUCGGGGGAGACCGCGGUCUAAGUCCAUUGGAACAUGGCGUCCCAGAGGGUGAGAAUCCCGUAUGUGACCGCGGCUCGAGCCCGUGUGAAGCCUCUUCGACGAGUCGAGUUGUUUGGGAAUGCAGCUCUAAAUGGGUGGUAAAUUUCAUCUAAAGCUAAAUACUGGCUGGAGACCGAUAGCGCACAAGUAGAGUGAUCGAAAGAUGAAAAGCACUUUGGAAAGAGGGUUAAACAGUACGUGAAAUUGUUGAAAGGGAAGCGCUUGCAACCAGACCUGCCCGUAGGCGAUCAACCGCUGUUCUCAGCGGUGCACUCGUUCUGCGAUCAGGCCAGCAUCGGUUCGGGCGGUCGGAUAAAGGCCUUGGGAAUGUAGCUUCCCUUCGGGGGAGUCUUAUAGCCCUCGGUGCAAUGCGGCCAGCCGGGACCGAGGACCGCGCUUCGGCUAGGAUGCUGGCGUAAUGGUUGUAAGCGACCC
rnacentral:rRNA from 1 species